GACGAACGCUGGCGGCGUGCCUAAUACAUGCAAGUUGAGCGCUGAAGGUUGGUACUUGUACCAACUGGAUGAGCAGCGCACGGGUGAGUAACGCGUGGGGAAUCUGCCUUUGAUCGGGGGACAACAUUUGGAAACGAAUGCUAAUACCGCAUAACAACUUUAAACACAAGUUUUAAGUUUGAAAGAUGCCAUUGCAUCACUCAAAGAUGAUCCCGCGUUGUAUUAGCUAGUUGGUGAGGUAAAGGCUCACCAAGGCGAUGAUACAUAGCCGACCUGAGAGGGUGAUCGGCCACAUUGGGACUGAGACACGGCCCAAACGCCUACGGGAGGCAGCAGUAGGGAAUCUUCGGCAAUGGACGAAAGUCUGACCGAGCAACGCCGCGUGAGUGAAGAAGGGUGUCGGAUCGUAAAACUCUGUUGGUAGAGAAGAACGUUGGUGAGAGUGGAAAGCUCAUCAAGUGACGGUAACUACCCAGAAAGGGACGGCUAACUACGUG
rnacentral:rRNA from 1 species